GUAGUAUUCCCUCCGUCCGGAAAUACUUGUCAUCAAAAUGAAUAAAAGGGGAUGUAUCUAGAUGUAUUUUAGUUCUAGAUACAUCCCUUUUUGUCCAUUUUGAUGACAAGUAUUUUCGGACGGAGGGAGUAUAAC
rnacentral:pre_miRNA from 1 species